UACAGGGGGGGCAAGCGUUGUUCGGAAUUACUGGGCGUAAAGGGUUCGUAGGUGGCCAACUAAGUCAGACGUGAAAUCCCUCAGCUUAACUGGGAACUGCGUCUGAUACUGGAUGGCUUGAGUGUAGGAGAGGAAUGCGGAAUUCCAGGUGUAGCGGUGAAAUGCGUAGAUAUCUGGAGGAACACCGGUGGCGAAGGCGGCGAUCUGGGUCGAUACUGACGCUGAGGUGCGAAAGCGUGGGGAGCAAACAGGAUUAAG
rnacentral:rRNA from 1 species